UACGGAGGAUCCAAGCGUUAUCCGGAUUUAUUGGGUUUAAAGGGUACGUAGGCGGACUUAUAAGUCAGUGGUGAAAUUCUGCAGCUUAACUGUAGCAUUGCCAUUGAUACUGUUUGUCUUGAGUAUAGUUGAGGUAGGUGGAAUGUAGUGUGUAGCGGUGAAAUGCAUAGAUAUACUACAGAACACCGAUUGCGAAGGCAGCUUACUAAACUAUCACUGACGCUGAGGUACGAAAGCGUGGGGAUCAAACAGG
rnacentral:rRNA from 1 species